GUCGAACGUGAAAGCACUUCGGUGUGAGUAGAGUGGCGGACGGGUGAGUAACGUGUGGGAAUCUGCCCAGUAGUGGGGGACAACUACCGGAAACGGUAGCUAAUACCGCAUACGCCCUAUGGGGGAAAGGCUUCGGCCGCUAUUGGAUGAGCCCGCGUCAGAUUAGCUAGUUGGUAGGGUAAAGGCCUACCAAGGCAACGAUCUGUAGCUGGUCUGAGAGGACGAACAGCCACACUGGGACUGAGACACGGCCCAGACUCCUACGGGAGGCAGCAGUGGGGAAUAUUGGACAAUGGGCGAAAGCCUGAUCCAGCAAUGCCGCGUGUGUGAAGAAGGCCUGCGGGUUGUAAAGCACUUUCAGUUGGGAAGAUGAUGACGUUACCAACAGAAGAAGCACCGGCUAAAUCCGUGCCAGCAGCCGCGGUAAUACGGAUGGUGCGAGCGUUAAUCGGAAUUACUGGGCGUAAAGCGCGCGUAGGCGGCUAAGUCAGUCAGAAGUGAAAGCCCCGGUCUCAACCUGGGAAUUGCUUUUGAUACUGCUUGGCUAGAGUUUGGUAGAGGAUAGUGGAAUUCCAGGUGUAGCGGUGAAAUGCGUAGAUAUCUGGAGGAACAUCAGUGGCGAAGGCGACUGUCUGGACCAAAACUGACGCUGAGGUGCGAAAGCGUGGGUAGCAAACAGGAUUAGAUACCCUGGUAGA
rnacentral:rRNA from 1 species